CCGCCCGGUAGGCCGGGGAGCUGUGUCGGCUGCCGGCCGGGAUGGUGCGUUGCCGGUACCGGGCCGGCCGGGUGUGCC
rnacentral:tRNA from 1 species